GACGAACGCUGGCGGCGUGCCUAAUACAUGCAAGUCGAGCGGACCAAAGGGAGCUUGCUCCUGGAGGUUAGCGGCGAACGGGUGAGUAACACGUGGGCAACCUGCCUGUAAGACUGGGAUAACAUCGAGAAAUCGGUGCUAAUACCGGAUAAUAAAAAGAACUGCAUGGUUCUUUUUGAAAGAUGGUUUCGGCUAUCACUUACAGAUGGGCCCGCGGCGCAUUAGCUAGUUGGUGAGGUAACGGCUCACCAAGGCGACGAUGCGUAGCCGACCUGAGAGGGUGAUCGGCCACACUGGGACUGAGACACGGCCCAGACUCCUACGGGAGGCAGCAGUAGGGAAUCUUCCGCAAUGGACGAAAGUCUGACGGAGCAACGCCGCGUGAGUGAUGAAGGUUUUCGGAUCGUAAAACUCUGUUGUUAGGGAAGAACAAGUGCCGUUCGAAAGGGCGGCACCUUGACGGUACCAACGAGAAAGCCACGGCUAACUACGUGCCAGCAGCCGCGGU
rnacentral:rRNA from 1 species